CUGGGUAGGCGUGCGUCUCGCUACCCGCCUUAACCAGCUUGGAGUGUCUGAGGCCCGCCGCGUGGUGGCGCACGUGGCCGCGUGGAUUCGAUUGGGCCCUCUAGCUUUACACCACCGUCUAGGUUAGCUGACCCUGAGGCGCAGGCCGAGUAAAGAUGGGAAUAAACGGUGCUUCUUAUGCUUGGAAAUGUUCCAGACUGCUGAGGCAGUCUUCCCUCGAAGGGAACUACGGUUCGGGGGGCAGGCUUCGCUGAGAUCACAGGUCAAGUUAGCCUCAAGCAGGCCCUGGAGCCUAACGCUAGCUGGCCUGCCGGGAGUUCCAGGCCGUGCAUGCACUGCGCACUGCACCCACAUUUCUUGUACGAGAUUCUGGAGGGCUGGAGUCCGGCCUUUUUGCCUCCCCACCGGCGCCUGGCACCGUAAGACCAUGCAUAGAGAGAGAGCGAGCACAAGCAGGGGAAGUGGCAGAGGGAGAAGAAACAUGCUCCCCACUGAGCAGGAAGCCCAAUGCGGGGAGCCCGAUGUGGGGAAGGGCUAGAUCCCAGGAUCCAGGGACCACGACCCGACCUGAGCCGAAAGCAGCUGCCCAACCGACUGAGCCACCCAGGUACCCAAGGACCCCUGAAUUUAACAGGAUCUCCAGGCUCCAACCAAGCAUGGAGCCCAACAUUGGGGCACAAACUCACAACCCUGAGAUCAAGACCUAUGCUGAGAUCAAGAGUCAGAUACUUAACUGACUGAGCCACCCAGGCACGCCAUGAAUUACUGUUUCUGCUAAAGCCCCAGGAGCUCUCCAGCUUGCUCAUCCCUGCCACUGGGGUUCUGCGCAGGAGAGAGAGUCAGCUUUGUCCCACAAUUUCCUGGUCCUGGUUCUGGAAAUCCUGCUCGCAUCUACAGCUGAGGGUUUUGGCUGAAACACUCACGACACAGGUAGAGAAAAAACAGCAUUGGCUGAAGGUGAAGGAGCAGAACUGAAAGUCACACUCGGACUCAGGUUUAGGCUGCCUUGAAUAUGCUGGCCUGGUGGCACCCACCAACCUGUGGAGAGAAAAGCAUCCCAUCGUACGGACCACCACCCACCCAGACAGAGUGCAGAUGGGCUCUGUUGAGCCCUUUGUGAUACCUGCUCUUGGAACCCAGCCACUACACUGUGAGGGAAGUCCAAGCUACCCUGUGGAGAGGCGGGUGUGGAGAGAAGCAGCAUACAGUGUGACUCGAGCAGGUGAGUGAGUCAUCUUGGAAGUGGCUCUUCCAGCCCCAACUGACGCCACUUGGGGCAGAGGUGAGCUGUCCCUGCUGAGCUACAUGAUUGCUGCCGGCUUACGUCACUAAUUUUUGGAGUGGUUUGUUUGAAGAGAUAGAUAAUGGAGGCAUCCCCUGUCCCCCCACAAAACUGGGAGCCACAGGCUUAGGAGGCGGGAAAUGGGCCCCUCUUUGUCCCUGGAGCUGGGACCUAGGUCAGCAUUGUUCCUUCAACAAGUAUUUGUUGCAUGACCACCAAGUGCUAGACACUGUUCCAAGGGCUGAGGACUUACUGAAUGAGACAGACCCCAAGAAAGGGUGGUGGGGAGAACCGUCUUCCUGUGGGAGGUUAUUUCUAAGCUGAGACCCAUCUAAGGAAGAGGAGUUAGCCACGCACAGAAGCAGAGAAAGGCCAGAUGCAAUACCGUGUGCUAUUUCUGGAUGAGGUUAACAGAUUUGGCAAAUAAAAAAUAAAAAUUUGACACCCAGUUAAACUUGAAUUUUAGAUGAGUAACGAAUACUUUUUUUGUGUGUAUACAUAUGUCCCAUGCAGCUUUGGAGGCAUGCUCAUAUUAAAAAGUCAUUCAUGGGCUGCCUGGGUGGCUCAGUCAGUUAAGCGUCUGCCUUCGGCUCCAGUCAUGAUGCUAGGGUCCUGGGAUGAGCCCCACAUCAGGCUCCCUGCUCGGCGGGCAGCCUGCUUCGCCCUCUGCCUGCUGCUCCCCUUGCUUGCGCUUGCUCCCUCGCUCUCUGGCAAAUAAAAUCUUUUCUAAAAAAGUUAUUCAUUACUUCUCUGAAAGUCAAGUUAACUGGGAGUCCUGCAUUUUAUCUGACCUCUAGUUUUAAGGCAGAAAAGAGAAAGAAAAGUGAGAAAAACUCAUGUUUCAAGAGACAAUUCGGAAAGCUGGUGGUGGGACAGUGGCAAACAGGGUGUGACAUCAGAAGUAAAGGUCGUCACAAAAGGCCAGCUGGCCAGGUCCAUUUUGAAUUUUGUCCUGAAGCAGUGAGGGGCCACAAGAGGGUUCAGACCCAGGGAGACACAAUCGGAUGUGUGUGUUGCAACAGUAUUCUGGGCUACCGUCUGGAAGGGAUGGGAGAGCCUGUGGGCAGGGAGAUCAGGGGGAGGAGGCCUCUACCCUGCAAAGUUCAGACUCUGGUAACCACAAAGGCUUGAGAAUGUCGAACUAACUCCCCACUUCCCACUUUUCUUUUCUAUAACAUAAGUGCUUUAAACUCUAAGAUUCCCUUUAACUACUGCUUCAGUGUAUCCCACAAGCUUUUGAUAUAUUUAGUUUUAUCAUUCCAUUCAGGAUGUUUUCUCUCAAUUCUUCAGAUGUGUGUUG